AACGCCGCGUGAGGGACGACGGCCUUCGGGUUGUAAACCUCUUUUAGCAGGAAAGAAGCGAAAGUGACGGUACCUGCAGAAAAAGCGCCGGCUAACUACGUGCCAGCAGCCGCGGUAAUACGUAGGGCGCAAGCGUUAUCCGGAAUUAUUGGGCGUAAAGAGCUCGUAGGCGGUCUGUCGCGUCUGCUGUGAAAACCCGAGGCUCAACCUCGGGCCUGCAGUGGGUACGGGCAGACUAGAGUGCGGUAGGGGAGAUUGGAAUUCCUGGUGUAGCGGUGGAAUGCGCAGAUAUCAGGAGGAACACCGAUGGCGAAGGCAGAUCUCUGGGCCGUAACUGACGCUGAGGAGCGAAAGGGUGGGGAGCAAACAGGCUUAGAUACCCUGGUAGUCCACCCCGUAAACGUUGGGAACUAGUUGUGGGGUCCAUUCCACGGAUUCCGUGACGCAGCUAACGCAUUAAGUUCCCCGCCUGGGGAGUACGGCCGCAAGGCUAAAACUCAAAGGAAUUGACGGGGACCCGCACAAGCGGCGGAGCAUGCGGAUUAAUUCGAUGCAACGCGAAGAACCUUACCAAGGCUUGACAUAUACGAGAACGGGCCAGAAAUGGUCAACUCUUUGGACACUCGUAAACAGGUGGUGCAUGGUUGUCGUCAGCUCGUGUCGUGAGAUGUUGGGUUAAGUCCCGCAACGAGCGCAACCCUCGUUCUAUGUUGCCAGCACGUAAUGGUGG
rnacentral:rRNA from 1 species